rnacentral:misc_RNA from 1 species
GCGAAAUGCGAUAAGUAAUGUGAAUUGCAGAAUUCAGUGAAUCAUCGAAUCUUUGAACGCACAUUGCGCCCGCCAGUAUUCUGGCGGGCAUGCCUGUUCGAGCGUCAUUACAACCCUCAGGCCCCCGGGCCUGGCGUUGGGGAUCGGCGGAAGCCCCCUGCGGGCACAACGCCGUCCCCCAAAUACAGUGGCGGUCCCGCCGCAGCUUCCAUUGCGUAGUAGCUAACACCUCGCAACUGGAGAGCGGCGCGGCCACGCCGUAAAACACCCAACUUCUGAAUGUUGACCUCGAAUCAGGUAGGAAUACCCGCUGAACUUAAGC